UUUUAAUUCCAUAAAUAAGGAAAACUUAUAUAACGGGAGAAGAAACCCGUGCAGUCUUUCAGAAAACUGAAACCCGAAGCUCAGGCAGUGUUACUCUGAAAACCCACGUUAGCUAUCGUUUCAGUGUUGCAACAACUCACUCUUGAGUAGUGAAAUUUAAGCUCCUCUUAGUCCUAGUUUGGAUUCGACUACCCUGUUUUGAGUCUGUCUCUGACUCUCUCUGUGGAGUUUGGUGUCGUGGGGAUGGAGGCCAUGGUGAAGAAGUAUCAGCAGAGGUUCAGGAAGGUGAGGGAUGAGAUGGACAGCUGGGCCGUGCUUCAGUCUCGCUUGAUUUCGCAGUUCAGGAACGCCUCCUCCAUCAUCCAGAGGUUGCAGGUGCUUCAAGAUUCCAAGAAUUACGGCUGUUUGAAAGAUGUUGUCAGCAUUGAAGAGGCACUACUGGCAAAGCAAAUGGACUCGUUGCAAAACAUCUUGCUCUCCAUGAAGAAAACCAUGGAAGAGUUUCAUGUUAUUGUAUUGUCUCUCGGGAAGAUUCAUCACGAUGGUAGGCAGAUGGCAAAAGGCGGUGGUUCUAGUCAGUUGAGUGUAAAACAACUGCAGCAACGAGUUGGUGUAAAACCCAGUCUUGCGGAUUGCUUGGAUGGGCUUAUGCUUCUUCAGGACAUGCAUUGCUCUGAGUACCUUUUGAAGUCAUCAUUGGUUACAGCACUCUCACAACUUACCUUGAAACCCAGGGGUUUUGGGCGUUGAGAUUAGCAGACUGUACCAUAUUUCAACCUCCAGUGUGCUAUAACCUUUUAUUUUACGGUUACACAUCUACUAUAAAUUUGAUACAUUUUGGAGCUUAGGUGCAAUCUGCAGAUGUGCCAGCCAUUUCUUAUCGUGGUUAUAUUUCCACAUAUUUCUUUCUUCUUUUAAGAAUUAAGUUUUAUGUACUUGAUGUUCGUUCAUCAAUUUCCUAGUGCCAGUGAUUUGGGUGCGCUCCAGCAGCUCUUGGUUGAUCAGCCUAACAUCCCCAAGGAGGAAGUCCAAUUCAUCUUCGACAUCAUAUUUGCCGAAGACAUUUGUUGACAUUCGCUGGAACAUUGGCUGCAAGCUUUCCGAGCUCUGGACGAGAGCAGUUUGGAAAACAGAAACCUCUUGGUUUUGUUUGAAUCGUGAGUGAUGACAGUUGGAUGCUUGUGCUCUGGUGCUGAGAUUGAGAGAGGUGCCUGCAACAUUUGAUGCAUAUAAACGCAAAAGAGAGAUAAUUCAUUGCAAACUUGAAUGUACCAGUGUAUUCAUGGAAGUGAUGCAGCGGAAGGUGGCGAUGUGGAAGGGAUCCUCCCCAGACCUCACUGUCCGGAGCUCAAGAACCAGACAAUCCGGACCACUCAUUUUGAAUCUGAUGGUCCACGUUAACUCAUUCCGCUGAUCUAUCUCACACAAGUCAAAAGCUACGAUCUCUCUUUCACACAAACCAAGGAUAAGAAUUUCCUGAUUCUUAGGCUCGGACAGUAAAGUCUGAAGGGGAUUCAAACGAGAAUUAAGUGCCAUUUGAGAAUUACUGUUGCAGGUUUAACCUAUUAACUUUGGAGUAAAUAUAAAGAAUUCACUGGGAUUCUAUGCCCCCCAUUGAUAGAAA